AGUACAGAUACCGAUAUAAAAUCAAAUGUAAGAUCUCAAACAUAUUCAAACAUUAAUGCGAUGGCUGUCUCUUGGCUUGUACAAAUGCUGUUUGUUGGUGUCCGUAAAUACAUCAGGGCAUGAAGACAUGUUACAAUUCAAGGAUUUUCCAAAGUGAUAAACGGACGAGUGAAAAUACAUAGCAGUUCUGAAAGUACAUAGCAGUUCCCCGUGUGAUGAAUGAAGACCGUACCCCAGACCACCAUCAAAAACUAAAAAGCACUAGAAAUGAGAUCACCAAGUAAAUUUCCUAUGACUAUUUGCAUGAAAUUCCAGUUUUAGCCAAUGAGAUCAAAGUUCGCAAAACACUAGCAAGUAUUGAUCUUUCAGAAUAAAGUGAGAUUGAACAGCUUGGUCCCAUUCCUCUUCCUUGCUUGACUGGUCUUAAGAGGCACCUUUUGUGAUCCAAAAAAGAUGCAAAUUUAGAUUGAACUCUCUUUGGUAAGAAGGAAUGGGAAAUAACGGUGAAAAACCAUUAGUUGAUAUCCGAUGGAUUAAUCAAGAAAAAUUACAUGUAGGAAACGCAAAGAAAGGAGAAGCAACAUUAGCAUGCCGUAGAUGCUCGAUACAGAGUAAAGAACGGAAGUCCUGGGAAAAUUCUUUGAUAUUUGUACCAAAUAAGGUUACAUCAAGAACACCAGCUGCGAGUCUAUAAAAAUAGAUCUAGACUUCACAAUUAAUAAUUAACAUAUUAGUCAUAGAAUCUUAACUAACCCCAAACCAGACAUCUUUAUGCCAUUUCUUUUAGACAUCUUCGUUACUCUAUGAAGGCGACGUAUUACGAGCUGUCUAUUCAUUUUAUCUAUCACACAGGUCCACAAAAAAGAUCGAAAUUUAUUAGUCAA